UAGGAGCAAAAGUGCAGGUCUGACUGCCGU
rnacentral:piRNA from 1 species